GAUGAACGCUGGCGGCGUGCCUAAUACAUGCAAGUCGAGCGAACAGACGAGGAGCUUGUUCCUCUGACGUUAGCGGUGGACGGGUGAGUAACACGUGGAUAACCUACCUAUAAGACUGGGAUAACUUCGGGAAACCGGAGCUAAUACCGGAUAACAUGUUGAACCGCAUGGUUCAACAGUGAAAGACGGUCUUGCUGUCACUUAUAGAUGGAUCCGCGCCGCAUUAGCUAGUUGGUAAGGUAACGGCUUACCAAGGCAACGAUGCGUAGCCGACCUGAGAGGGUGAUCGGCCACACUGGAACUGAGACACGGUCCAGACUCCUACGGGAGGCAGCAGUAGGGAAUCUUCCGCAAUGGGCGAAAGCCUGACGGAGCAACGCCGCGUGAGUGAGGAAGGUCUUCGGAUCGUAAAACUCUGUUAUUAGGGAAGAACAAAUGUGUAAGUAACUAUGCACGUCUUGACGGUACCUAAUCAGAAAGCCACGGCUAACUACGUG
rnacentral:rRNA from 1 species